rnacentral:rRNA from 1 species
CCCUUAGACGUUCUGGGCCGCACGCGCGCUACACUGACCAGUGCAACAAGCAUCCGUCCUUGGCCGACAGGCCCGGGCAAUCUUUGAACGCUGGUCGUGAUGGGGAUAGACUUUUGCAAUUUUUAAUCUUCAACGAGGAAUGCCUAGUAAGCGCAAGUCAUCAGCUUGCGUUGAUUACGUCCCUGCCCUUUGUACACACCGCCCGUCGCUCCUACUGAUUGAAUGGUCCGGUGAAGCGUUCGGACCGUGGCCUUUGGACGGUUCGCCGUCUGUUGGCUGCGGGAAGUUCGUUAAACCUUAUCAUUUAGAGGAAGGAGAAGUCGUAACA